GAGAUAAGUUGAUUUUAGAAAUACCAAAGUAUUUUGGAAUACUAGAGUUAACCAAAUACCCUAAAAUUAAAGAUUUCUUAGUGGUUGAAAAAAAUAGUAAAAUAAUUAUUAUUAAUAAAAUUUUUAUUUAUAAUAUUAAUAUUAUAAUUAAUAUAUAUUAUUAUUAUUUUAUUAUUAUAUAUAAAUACAACUGACAGUUAAGUUUUUUUAUAUAUAUAUAUUAUAUGUAGAAUAUUUGCAGCAUAACUUCUUUAAGUGGUUAGGUUUUUGCAAUUAAGCCCCAAUUUUAAAAUUUUGGUAGUAAAACUUCAUAAAUCCAAGUUUUGUUAGCACUUAGCCAUUUCCAUCCAUUUUUGGGUGUUAAGUAUCAGGUUGGAAUGUCUACAUGUACACAAUGUACACGUGACACAAUUUAAUUAGUCCACAUAAUAAAUAUUUAAAAUUAAUUAUUUUAAAAAUAAAAAAAAAUUAAUUUUUCUUUAAAAAUUAAAAAAAACAAUUUUAAUAAAAUAAUUUUUUUUAGAAAAAAAACCCUAACUCCCUCCUCCUCCUCCUUCUUCUUCUUCUUCUUUUAUCUUUUUCUCUGCUAAAAAAAUCAUAAUCUAAACCUAAAACACAUUUCUUUCACCCUCUCUCUCUUACCAGACCCCAACCCCGAAACUCCGACCGCUCCUCUCCAGACCAGGUACCCCGCCACUGACCGCCUGCUCCUUUCGCACAGCCACCACAACCUGAUUCCUCUCUCUCUCUCUCUCUCUCUCUCUCUCUCUCUCUCUCUUGCGUUUAGCCUCAAGAAACUCCUGUAAUAGAAACCCUCCUUCAAUUCCUCGACCCACGACCGAGAUCGAGUUGUCUGCUCUUCUUCUGUGGAGAGGGAGGGCAUUUUCAGAUUUGCCCCAAGUUUUCCGGCAAGAGAAGGAGCGGUGGAGGUGUUGCGAGAGAAGGCUUCAGAUAUGGGGUUGGAUGAAUGUGAAGUGUUUUCAGAUCUAGGGUUCUCAAAUUUGGUUUGAUUUUUUUGUUUGUUUGUUUUUGUGUAUGUGUGAUUUAGGUAUAAAAAAUAGGGUACGGUAGUGGCGUUGGUGAGCAGUGGUGGUUGUAGAUGGUAGGUAGUGGUGGUUUCGGUGGAUGUCGAUGGUAUGAAGAAGAUGAAGAAGAAGAAAAAUAGAAAAUAAUGAAGAAAAAAAAGGAUUUGUUGGAUUGAAAAAAAAAUGUUUUACUUUUAAUUUUUAAAUUAUUUUUCUGUUAAAACAAAUUAAAUUAUUUUUCUUUAUUUUAAAUUUUAUUUUAAUUAUAAA